GGUUAAGCGACUAAGCGUACACGGUGGAUGCCCUGGCAGUCAGAGGCGAUGAAGGACGUGCUAAUCUGCGAUAAGCGUCGGUAAGGUGAUAUGAACCGUUAUAACCGGCGAUUUCCGAAUGGGGAAACCCAGUGUGAUUCGUCACACUAUCAUUAACUGAAUCCAUAGGUUAAUGAGGCGAACCGGGGGAACUGAAACAUCUAAGUACCCCGAGGAAAAGAAAUCAACCGAGAUUCCCCCAGUAGCGGCGAGCGAACGGGGAGCAGCCCAGAGCCUGAAUCAGUGUGUGUGUUAGUGGAAGCGUCUGGAAAGGCGCGCGAUACAGGGUGACAACAAAAAUGCACAUACUGUGAGCUCGAUGAGUAGGGCGGGACACGUGGUAUCCUGUCUGAAUAUGGGGGGACCAUCCUCCAAGGCUAAAUACUCCUGACUGACCGAUAGUGAACCAGUACCGUGAGGGAAAGGCGAAAAGAACCCCGGCGAGGGGAGUGAAAAAGAACCUGAAACCGUGUACGUACAAGCAGUGGGAGCACGCUUAGGCGUGUGACUGCGUACCUUUUGUAUAAUGGGUCAGCGACUUAUAUUCUGUAGCAAGGUUAACCGAAUAGGGGAGCCGAAGGGAAACCGAGUCUUAACUGGGCGUUAAGUUGCAGGGUAUAGACCCGAAACCCGGUGAUCUAGCCAUGGGCAGGUUGAAGGUUGGGUAACACUAACUGGAGGACCGAACCGACUAAUGUUGAAAAAUUAGCGGAUGACUUGUGGCUGGGGGUGAAAGGCCAAUCAAACCGGGAGAUAGCUGGUUCUCCCCGAAAGCUAUUUAGGUAGCGCCUCGUGAAUUCAUCUCCGGGGGUAGAGCACUGUUUCGGCAAGGGGGUCAUCCCGACUUACCAACCCGAUGCAAACUACGAAUACCGGAGAAUGUUAUCACGGGAGACACACGGCGGGUGCUAACGUCCGUCGUGAAGAGGGAAACAACCCAGACCGCCAGCUAAGGUCCCAAAGUCAUGGUUAAGUGGGAAACGAUGUGGGAAGGCCCAGACAGCCAGGAUGUUGGCUUAGAAGCAGCCAUCAUUUAAAGAAAGCGUAAUAGCUCACUGGUCGAGUCGGCCUGCGCGGAAGAUGUAACGGGGCUAAACCAUGCACCGAAGCUGCGGCAGCGACGCUGAUGCGUUGUUGGGUAGGGGAGCGUUCUGUAAGCCUGCGAAGGUGUGCUGUGAGGCAUGCUGGAGGUAUCAGAAGUGCGAAUGCUGACAUAAGUAACGAUAAAGCGGGUGAAAAGCCCGCUCGCCGGAAGACCAAGGGUUCCUGUCCAACGUUAAUCGGGGCAGGGUGAGUCGGCCCCUAAGGCGAGGCCGAAAGGCGUAGUCGAUGGGAAACAGGUUAAUAUUCCUGUACUUGGUGUUACUGCGAAGGGGACGGAGAAGGCUAUGUUGGCCGGGCGACGGUUGUCCCGGUUUAAGCGUGUAGGCUGGUUUUCCAGGCAAAUCCGGAAAAUCAAGGCUGAGGCGUGAUGACGAGGCACUACGGUGCUGAAGCAACAAAUGCCCUGCUUCCAGGAAAAGCCUCUAAGCAUCAGGUAACAUCAAAUCGUACCCCAAACCGACACAGGUGGUCAGGUAGAGAAUACCAAGGCGCUUGAGAGAACUCGGGUGAAGGAACUAGGCAAAAUGGUGCCGUAACUUCGGGAGAAGGCACGCUGAUAUGUAGGUGAAGUGAUUUACUCAUGGAGCUGAAAUCAGUCGAAGAUACCAGCUGGCUGCAACUGUUUAUUAAAAACACAGCACUGUGCAAACACGAAAGUGGACGUAUACGGUGUGACGCCUGCCCGGUGCCGGAAGGUUAAUUGAUGGGGUUAGCGCAAGCGAAGCUCUUGAUCGAAGCCCCGGUAAACGGCGGCCGUAACUAUAACGGUCCUAAGGUAGCGAAAUUCCUUGUCGGGUAAGUUCCGACCUGCACGAAUGGCGUAAUGAUGGCCAGGCUGUCUCCACCCGAGACUCAGUGAAAUUGAACUCGCUGUGAAGAUGCAGUGUACCCGCGGCAAGACGGAAAGACCCCGUGAACCUUUACUAUAGCUUGACACUGAACAUUGAGCCUUGAUGUGUAGGAUAGGUGGGAGGCUUUGAAGUGUGGACGCCAGUCUGCAUGGAGCCGACCUUGAAAUACCACCCUUUAAUGUUUGAUGUUCUAACGUGGACCCGUAAUCCGGGUUGCGGACAGUGUCUGGUGGGUAGUUUGACUGGGGCGGUCUCCUCCUAAAGAGUAACGGAGGAGCACGAAGGUUGGCUAAUCCUGGUCGGACAUCAGGAGGUUAGUGCAAUGGCAUAAGCCAGCUUGACUGCGAGCGUGACGGCGCGAGCAGGUGCGAAAGCAGGUCAUAGUGAUCCGGUGGUUCUGAAUGGAAGGGCCAUCGCUCAACGGAUAAAAGGUACUCCGGGGAUAACAGGCUGAUACCGCCCAAGAGUUCAUAUCGACGGCGGUGUUUGGCACCUCGAUGUCGGCUCAUCACAUCCUGGGGCUGAAGUAGGUCCCAAGGGUAUGGCUGUUCGCCAUUUAAAGUGGUACGCGAGCUGGGUUUAGAACGUCGUGAGACAGUUCGGUCCCUAUCUGCCGUGGGCGCUGGAGAACUGAGGGGGGCUGCUCCUAGUACGAGAGGACCGGAGUGGACGCAUCACUGGUGUUCGGGUUGUCAUGCCAAUGGCACUGCCCGGUAGCUAAAUGCGGAAGAGAUAAGUGCUGAAAGCAUCUAAGCACGAAACUUGCCCCGAGAUGAGUUCUCCCUGACUCCUUGAGAGUCCUGAAGGAACGUUGAAGACGACGACGUUGAUAGGCCGGGUGUGUAAGCGCAGCGAUGCGUUGAGCUAACCGGUACUAAUGAACCGUGAGGCUUAACCUU
rnacentral:rRNA from 1 species